rnacentral:lncRNA from 1 species
GUACUGAUUAUCUUCGAUUGUUUUCAGAUACUUUAGUUGCUUUAGUUCCCUUGUGAACUUGCUCUUUCUUUGCUUGAUAGCUUGAGCAUUAAGGUAUAACAUCCUAACUCCAUGUAGUCUGGAAGACCUGGCCUGUUACUUGGCCAGGCACCUGUCUGAAGUCCUCCUUAAGAGGCAAUGUUUGUGUUUGUUUACCUUUGUCCUUGUGUAGCGGUGUAUUCGUCGCUAUAUGAUCUAUCGAUUAAAUCAUAAGCUAAGAGAUACAUUGAAAU